GAUGAACGCUGGCGGCGUGCCUAAUACAUGCAAGUCGAGCGAACAGACGAGGAGCUUGCUCCUCUGACGUUAGCGGCGGACGGGUGAGUAACACGUGGAUAACCUACCUAUAAGACUGGGAUAACUUCGGGAAACCGGAGCUAAUACCGGAUAAUAUAUUGAACCGCAUGGUUCAAUAGUGAAAGACGGUUUUGCUGUCACUUAUAGAUGGAUCCGCGCCGCAUUAGCUAGUUGGUAAGGUAACGGAUUACCAAGGCAACGAUGCGUAGCCGCCCUGAGAGGGUGAUCGGCCACACUGGAACGGAGACACGGUCCAGACUCCUACGGGGGGCAGCGGUAGGGAAUCUUCCGCAAUGGGCGAAAGCCGGCCGGGGCAACGCGGCGGGAGUGAUGAAGGUCUUCGGAUCUUAAAACUCUGUUAAUAGGGAAGAACAAAUGUGUAAGUAACUAUGCACGUCUUGACGGUACCUAAUCAGAAAGCCACGGCUAACUACGUG
rnacentral:rRNA from 1 species